AACGCUAGCUACAGGCUCAACACAUGCAAGUCGAGGGGCAUCAGGGUAGCAAUACCGCUGGCGACCGGCGCACGGGUGAGUAACAUGUAUCCAACCUGCCGAUAACUCGGGGAUAGCCUUUCGAAAGAAAGAUUAAUACCCGAUGGUAUAAUAAAACCGCAUGGUUUAAUUAUUAAAGAAUUUCGGUUAUCGAUGGGGAUGCGUUCCAUUAGGCAGUUGGUGAGGUAACGGCUCACCAAACCUUCGAUGGAUAGGGGUUCUGAGAGGAAGGUCCCCCACAUUGGAACUGAGACACGGUCCAAACUCCUACGGGAGGCAGCAGUGAGGAAUAUUGGUCAAUGGACGGGAGUCUGAACCAGCCAAGUAGCGUGAAGGAUGACUGCCCUAUGGGUUGUAAACUUCUUUUAUAUGGGAAUAAAGUGAUCCACGUGUGGAUUUUUGUAUGUACCAUAUGAAUAAGGAUCGGCUAACUCCGUGCCAGCAGCCGCGGUAAUACGGAGGAUCCGAGCGUUAUCCGGAUUUAUUGGGUUUAAAGGGAGCGUAGGUGGACAGUUAAGUCAGUUGUGAAAGUUUGCGGCUCAACCGUAAAAUUGCAGUUGAUACUGGCUGUCUUGAGUACAGUAGAGGUGGGCGGAAUUCGUGGUGUAGCGGUGAAAUGCUUAGAUAUCACGAAGAACUCCGAUUG
rnacentral:rRNA from 1 species